GCCACUCACAAACAAAAUAACUUUCAACUCAACUGAAAUCUCUCUCAAAAUCAGACAAAUUGUAAAAACCCUUCACCUAAUCGAAUCACCACCCUCAAAGCCCAAUUCAAUGGAGCCAGACGUGAAGGCCUAUUCUUUCUUUCCAUUCCUUUUCUCCAAAAGAUCUUAACAGACUCUACUUUCAACUAUUCCAUAUCAUAUGAAGAAACAAAACCCACCAAAUCUCCUUCACAAUCCCACCAUGAAAGCAAGCUAUUAUGGGGAAAGUGAUUGAAAUGGAGGCAUAAUUUUACAUUUUAAACUGCUCUGGAGGCAAGCUUGUCACUGUUAGAAUUGAAAAUGGGUAGAUCAAUUCAUGGCCAGAUUGUAAAAUCUAUUGAAGAACCUGAUCAAGUUGUGUACAGUUUCCUUCAAAUUUGUGCACAAAGUUUGGGUGUUUUCAAGAUUUACUCCAGGUGAUUGAUGAAAUGCCUGACCGAAACGUUGUUACUUUGAACUCCUUGUUUGCUAAAUCAGUGCAGUGUGGGCAACAAUCUGGUUAGUUACUCUAACUGAAUACUUUGAGUAAUUUUCGGAAAUUGCUAAAUGAGUAUCCAAACUUUUAAGUUACAUCCAAUUCGUUCACUUUUUCUCUGUAUAGGUUAAACGCGUUGGAAAGUAAAAUUAAAAUUGGGCGGUAGUUGAAGUGGCGUUGGGAUCUUAAUUAUCCAGAUUAUUAUUUUUUUUAAAAUUAUGUUUUUUUUAAACAAAUGUUUUUAAAAAAUAGAAAAAAUCAAAAUAGAUCUAACGUUAGUCAAAAUGGCAGUGACAGACUCUUCAACGCCAAUGUGAAUGGCAAACCCUAAAACAUUUACACAUCCGCCGAAUCUCACUUUCUCCUCUCCUUUUCUUCUUUUUUUCGUACUUUCUCUCCUUCAUCAAUCUUUUUACCCAUCCGCACAUCUUUCUGUUUCUCCUCUCAUUUUUUCCUUCUUUCCUUUAUAAAUCUUUCUUUAUUCUGUCUCUUUUCACUCUUUUCUUCCAUUUUUCCAGUAAAUUUUCAUCUAUAUCCAUUUUUCUCCAUAAAUUUAGUUUAGAACACCCCUAAAUACUAAUAUACAUACCUUUAGGGGUGUUCUGAACAAAAUUAAUGGAGAAAAAUAUAGACAAAUGGAAGCAAAAUAAAUCCACCGGAAAAAAUGAAAGGAAAGAGUGUGAGAAUAGAUAGGAUAAAUGAGCGAAUGAAGAAAAUGAGAUGAGAAAGAGUUAUGCGGCAGAUGGGUAUAAGGUAGGGUUUGGAUGGAUACAAACAAAAAACAGAAAAAAAAUAUAUUUCAACACCAGUCAGAUUGGAGUUGAUCUAUUUUGAUUUUUUUUUUUUUAAAAAAAUCCUUUAUAAAAACAAAUUUACAAUAAAAAAUAGGUUAAGAUAAGUUAAGUAGUUAAGCAAUGUGGUUAUAAGUCAACGCCACUUGAAGUGGCUUUGGAUUUUUACUAUAAAAAUACUAUUUAUCUGUUUAUUUAAUGUUUAUUUAUUUAUAUUGGACAUUAAUUUAUUAAUAAAAGUACAUCAUUCAUCAUUCAUUAAGUGGUCAUUUAGUUUGUUUAUAUAAAUAUUCAUAUUAUAUAUGUUAUGGUUUAUGUGUAUAAAUAAAUGUUAUACGUAAAAGAUAUAAAUCUCAUGUAAUAUAUAAAUAAAGAAAUAAUGGUUUAUAACCUAAGAUGAUUUGGAAAUAUUAUCUUGUAGAUUAUAGUACUUUAAUAGAGAUGAUUUAUCUUGAUCAUGGAAGUUGAACUUUUAAUUAAAGUAAUACUGCAUUAACGGUAUGCAUUAAAAGGAUCAUGUGAUAAUAUUUUAUUUAUAAAAUAUUUUCACAUAAAUACUAGUUUGUGAAAUUUCUUAAUUUUGAAAUAAUAAUGGACUUAAUAUUGUUAUAUAUAUUAAUUUGAUGUUCCAAUUAGUGAGAUUACAUCGUGUUAAUUAAUACCUCGUAAUGUCGAUUAAUAUUUUUAAUUAAUAUCAGGAAUAUUAUUAUUGUCAAAACAUCUAUAAGAUUUUUCAUAAGAUCAUAGAAUAAUUUACUAUUGAUCAUAGAAUCUUGACCGAGUCUUUUAAUAUUUACUAUUAAAAGGAUUGAUUUAAUUGUUAAAUAAAUUUAUGAUCAAAUAGAGAUAAAUUAUGGACUUAUUAAAUUAGUUUAAAUGUGUCGAAAUUAUAUUAACUGAUUCUGAAAUAGUUAUGUACAUUUAUAGAGGAAAUAUUUACAGUUUAUCAGUAAAGGGCUUAUUAAAUUAAUCCCUGGAUUAAAGUGCAAUUACAAUUAUUUAGUGGAAUUAAUUGUUAUUAAUAUUUAUUUUGAAUAUUAUUAUUAGAUAAUAAUAUCUAGAUAAGUAUUGAAGUCAGAAGCGGAAUCCCUUAUGAUCUCCUUCUUAGCCUAAUAUAGACCAGAUUAUUAAGAGAGGGUAAUGAUUAAUGUUAUUAUAUUUAUAGGGAAUUGAUAUUUUAUUUACUAUUCAUGUGAGGGGAACUUGUGGAAAUAUCAAUUCCCUAUUUAUAUAUGGGCUAUAUGUAUAUACAUGGCUGUGUAUUAUACAGUCGGGCUAUGACAAUUUGUUUUUUAGGCUAUGGCGACGGUUCACCGUAGCCCAGAAUAGCUAUAGCGACGGGUGAAACCGUUGGUAUAACUCAAAAAACCGUUGCCAUAGCCAACGGUGUACUACACAGUUGUGUAUAUACAUUUUUCCCUUUAUAUAUAUAUAUAUAUAUAUCAUUGAUUAGAAAUGUAUUUGGUACUUUUUCUAUCAAAAGAAAAUAUCAAAUUUCAUAUUCAUUUUAUUAGGAAAAACAUAGCUAGAGUUUUGUCCAUAAUGGUGCGUUGGAGACCACAUUCCAGGUUCAACAUAAGGUCAUAGGAAGGAAGACCUUGAGGAUACAAAAGAUUGUAAUGAUAUUCAAAACGUGCUAAUCAAAUCAAGCAUUAGGUAACAAAUUCAUACUUUAGAUACAUAGUAUAUAUAUAUUUGUUAUUUCGUAUAAAACCAUAAAGAUGAUCGUAGUUUUAUUUAAAUAUUUUUAAAACCUAUUUUUGGAAAAAAAUUCCUACAGUGGCGUCCAAACUCUCCGAGGCCAAUUAAAUUGGCCUUGAGGCUAUAUUAUAGAAAUGUUGAGCAAAAUGAAUGUAGUUUAGAAAGGUGAAUGUACUUUAAGCCAUUUUCGGAAAUCUCUCUUAAUACUUCUGACCAUAACCAGAAUCCGAUUAGGAUUAGGUUUCCUGGACUCUGUGAAUUAACCAACUACGAUUAACCUUGAGAUUCUCGUUGUGUCUCAUAGAACACAUGUUGCUUUCUGAUUUGGGAAAUUUAUGUCCAAAUCAAAGGUGACAGGCUAGUGCUAAAAUUGUUAUACUGCGAAUGAUCACAUAUUAGGUUCCUCAAAAACUGUACUAAAUAGUCUAAAUGUCCCAAUCCUAUUAUGAUUAACUAACUUGAGAUAUCUGGUUCUGAUAUGUGAAAGCCAAGAUUGUUUCAAAACUAAUUUACUUUUGAAGGUGGAGUACUAUUUUGUGAUCCACGGAGAAAUACAAGUAGAUUUUAGACAAUAUCUUCUUAUGCAGGAGCAUUGCAUCUCCAAAAAAAUGUUUAACCUGCUUUAUAUUUUACACAAAUACGCAGUAAUAAAGUAUUAAUGUCAUAUAUCAUACAUACAAAUUUAAAUUGUAUCAAAGCAAAUCCUAUGACUUUCAAGUAGAGAAUUGAUAUUUCCACAAGUAAAUUUGAUCACAAACUACUCCUCACAUGAAUAGUAAGUGGGUCCACCUCAUGUGAGAAAGGACCUUGCAGAACUAUCAAAUUUAUUUGUGAAAAUAUUCAUUCUCUUCGAGUACCCUAACGACCUGUAAAUGCUGUAAAAGUGACCGUGGCAUUAGUGGUUGAUGAUCCAUUAGAAGUAGAUGAAUCCCCAGGUACCCUCUUAUCCAAAUCGAAUAAAUUAGGCCGGUUUCGGCUUGGUAUUCUUUGUUCUACUGAUCCAUCACUUAAAAGCAUAACAACAACUUCAGACAUUGUUGGUCUCAAUGCAACUGUGGGCUCGGUACACAUUAACGCAAUCUCUAUGGUCUUCUUCACAGCUUCUACUCUAUAUUCACUUGGAUCUAACGCCUCAUCGAUCAAAUUCAAAUGCAUGUUAUUCUCAUACAAUUUCCAUGCCUAUAGUUACACAAAGAAAGUCGAAAUUAAUUAGCUUAGGAAGAAGUUGAAAGUAAGAAACUGAAUUACUUUUAUAGAAUAUUGGGUAGACUCUUCCUUUUUUGUCUGUUCCAAAAUUAGAGACAUUUUUAUUUUUAGACUAUAUAUGAAGUGAUAUGAAAUCUGUAAUGUGCCGUACUUUUAUUUUUAGUCGCUUGAGUAUUAUUAUCAUGUCACCUCUUAUUUCUAGUCAAUGUUAGGGAUAAGUUUGAAUAUUUUUUUCAAAAGUCAUAGUUUCACAAAUUUAUCUUUCGAACGGAGGAAGUAUAUAGAAACAUACAUCUUCGACGAGAUAAUCAUGGGUAGACUGACUCAUUUCAUUGCACUUUCUGCCACUAAUGAUUUCAAGGACAACGACACCGAAGCUGUAGGU
rnacentral:lncRNA from 1 species